CAGUAGCCGCGGUAAUACGAAGGGGGCUAGCGUUGCUCGGAAUGACUGGGCGUAAAGGGCGCGUAGGCGGUUUUGACAGUCAGAUGUGAAAUUCCUGGGCUUAACCUGGGGGCUGCAUUUGAGACGUCAAGACUAGAGUGUGAGAGAGGGUUGUGGAAUUCCCGGUGUAGAGGUGAAAUUCGUAGAUAUUGGGAAGAACACCGGUGGCGAAGGCGGCAACCUGGCUCAUUACUGACGCUGAGGCGCGAAAGCGUGGGGAGCAAACAGGAUUAGAUACCCGCGUAGUCCCUGUCUCUUAUAC
rnacentral:rRNA from 1 species